AAAUAGCAUCCUUUUCCUCAAUGAUGGAAAACAAAAGUUCGUGUCAAACUGAAGAAAAACAAUAAAAGUGGAGCCUUCCGGUUUCAAAUCUUCUCCCAAUAUUUUUAGUUAAAAAGUUGUUUCCUUCUUCUAAGAGACACUACAAAAGUACACACUUUAUUGAAAAUUUAUAAAAAAAAUAACAAAAAAAAAUCCUUUUCUAUACACUGUCAACAUGGCAGUUGGCGGAUAGCUGUUUCGAUGGAAAUGGCUUCUUUUGUUUAACGUCACGUUUUGUGGCAUACUCGUUCUUCUCUUUAGUGUUGCAGUCAACGCAAUUGUCGUCAUCCUCUCGUCGAUAUCCCUUCAUUAUAUCCAACCGAUAUAGAACAGAAACAAAAAACUGAAUAAUAAAAAAAAAAAAAUCGCUAUACACGUGAAGUUAUAUACUUUUUGAAGGAUUCUUUUAUCCUAAAGGCAUAUCGACGAGGAGUAAGUAUAUUCGAAGAAGAACUUCGGCUUCCCCACAGGAUGAUGAACAAGAGUUUCAACACGAAUACUAAAGAAUAAUAAUAACAACACCAAGAGUACCGGCGUUCAUUUCAUUUGAAGUUUAUUUUUCACAAUAUUUUCCACCCGUUGUCCUUAUACGGAGGGGGAAUUAUUUUGAAAAUAUUUCUUUCAAUUGAUGAGACCAGAACCAUAGAAUUUGCGAGCAUUCUGCAGUUAUUGCUGUGAAACAAAGUUAAAGGACAUUACUGCCACCCAAUUCCUCCCAAUAGGCGUAUUGUUUACAGAAGGUUUGCGCCAGCAUCAGCGGCAGCGAAACAAUAAAUAUAGUCAAAUUUGUGGUCUGAAUUGGCGGGUUUUGAUAUUUUAGUUCCAAUCAAAUGAGCUCAUUGUGCGAGUGCAAUGUGGCGAUUGCGAUUAUUGUUCACGACUCAACGGUUUCUCGUUGUCCGGCUGUGAAAAUUAAUAAACUUCCUAUGGCGAGCUCAUACAAAUAAAAAAACACAACACAAGUGUAAAUAUAAUAGUGAUCCUGAUCGGCCAUGGAGAGCGGGUGAAAAUCGUAAUUCCACAGCUCGUUUAAGGGGAUGAUAUAUUAAUGUGAAGAAGGCCCCUCAAGGACAUUUUGCUGAAACCCACAUUUGCAAUGACAACAUCAGAUUCUUCAUGGUCAUGUUGGGAACCAAAAUUCUGGUUAACCAAGUAAAUGGUUUUUGUAUCGCGGUCACCCAAAAACAUGACUCCAGCUCCAAGGUCAAUGGUAUCUAUCUCUGCUAUUGAUACCUCUUCAUUUCUGCUAUCAAUAUGGUACAGCAAUGACAACAGGACAAUAUGUCCCGUGCCGAGAAACAAGACAAACAAGAAUGUCACUUCCUGUAGAUUAGCCUGUAAAUUGGACAAAGAUCAAGAUUCUUCUCUCGUUGCGCAUUAUUUGGAUGCGAUCCGAAAAUCACCUAUUCAAGCUCAAUUUGACACGCAUAUCUGACACAAACACUACACAACUCCAUAUACAAAAUGAAAUAGUGAUGGCUGUAUCGAAAAAAAGGAACAAAUUCAUUUAGCACUUGGAAUCCAACUGUGAUGUGCUGACAAUUGAAAGAAUAAUUUACAAGUUGUCACCGACGGGACACUUGGCUGUCGAUUUC